CAGUGCGCGGAUCGAGUUGACACAGCACAACAUCCAAGUUCAGACUGUUCUUCCGGGACCAGUGAAGUCAAACAUUGCUCGUCAUGCUUUGACAGAGGACGUCAAAGUUAUCCAAACACCGUGAAAAACAGAACGAACUGGCUAUAAUCAAUAGAAGUGACGGACUUGUAACACAUAUGGGAACAGAGAGAAGGAAGAGGGAAUAUAAAGAUUCCCCGAAUUUUUUGGACUUCGUUAACAUGCUGGGAAUGC